GUGCUCGCUUCUGCAGUGCAUAUACUAAAACUGGAACGAUACAGAGAAGAUUAGCAUGACCCCUGCGCAAGGAUGACACACAAAUUCAUGAAGCGUUCCAUAUUUUC
rnacentral:snRNA from 1 species